rnacentral:rRNA from 1 species
GUUGAAAAGUACUCUGAAGAGAGAGUAAACAGUACGUGAAACUGCUCAGAGGUAAACGGGUAGAGUUGAACUGCAAGCCCUGGAGAUUCAGCUGAUGAACGUGGUAUAAGCUUGGUUAUUACAGCCGGCUGCCGAGGUCUGCUUAAUUGCAGGUUGCUGCCUUUGGGUGGCGAUUCGCGUGCACUUUCCAAGUGUUGCGACCCUUUGUUGACCGGGCCAGUUCGUCAGUGCACUUCUUCAGGGUGUUCAUCACGACCGACGUGCAGUCGGCCUACUGUGCUAAUGGCAGGUAGCUCAUUUGCUCUCGGGCAUUUGAGUGUAAUAGCCGAGUGCGGUGGUGCUGUGCAGUGCGUCGGAGACGGCGGC